UGAUCUUCAAUUCUCACUAGCUAGAUCCUCACAUUUGGUAGGCUUCUGCACACCAAAAUGGAGAAGAGAGAAAAAGCUCACUGUCUGGUCUUGUUCUAUCCAAGCCAAGGCCACAUUAAUCCAUUGCUCCAAUUCUCCAAGCGUUUAGAGCACAAAGGACUCAAAGUCACAUUUAUCACUACCCGCUCUGUUCUCAAGGCCAUGCAUGGAGGAGGAGGAGGAGGACAAUCACCAUCAUCAUUCUCUUCAAUUGCAUUGGAGACCAUUUCUGAUGGCUAUGAUGAAGGAGGAGCUUCCCAAGCAGAGAGCAUCGAGGCUUACUUGGACCGUUUUCGGGAAAUAGGUUCACAGACUUUAGCUGAGCUCAUUGAGGAAAUUUCUGGCUCAGGCCACCCUGCUGAUUGUCUAGUUUAUGAUUCAUGUAUGUCUUGGGCUCUUGAUGUGGCCAAAAGGGUUGGGAUUGCUGGGGCUGCUUUCUUCACCUUUUCUUGUGCUGUUACCAAUAUAUACUCUCUUGUCCAAAAUGGGCUGCUCAAAGUUCCUCUCAAUCCAGGCUCUGAGAUUUUGCUGCCAGGAUUACCACCUCUUCAACCUUCAGACACCCCAUCUUUCGUCUAUGUUUCUGGAUCGUACCCAGCUUUCUUUAAACUGAUUCUGGACCAGUUCUCUAAUCUUGACAAAGCUGAUUGGGUCUUGUGCAACACAUUUCAUGAGCUGGAACAAGAGGUAAACAAAAUUACUGAUAAGGAGGUAUAAGUGUAGUAGGGUUGUGCAUAUGUAGUGAUCAACAUCAUAAAUUGAGGUGGUUUUCAUGGUUUUCUGUUCCAAUUGAAUUCAUUCCUCUGUCCACGAAAUUAAAUAUCUCUCACUGUAUGCAUCACUAAUCAAGGGCUAUGACCAGCUUAUGAAUUUUUUUAAGUCUCUCACUUUGACCUUAUGAUUCAACUUCUCAGAUAACACCUACUUUCUUUUGUUUUCUUUUUCUCAUUUUAUGCAUAGGCGGUGGAUUGGAUGGCAAAGUUUUGGCCAUUGAGGACGAUUGGACCAACCAUACCAUCUAUGUACAUGGAUAAGCGUCAUGAAGACAACUGGGAGUAUGGUCUCAGCCUCUUAAAGCCAAACAGUGAUGCUUGCAUGAAAUGGUUAAAUGUGAAGCCAAAAGGGUCUGUAGCAUACGUUUCGUUUGGCAGUGUGGCAGAAAUUGGAGAAGAGCAAAUGGAGGAAUUGGGUUUGGGUUUAAGGAGAAGCAAAAGCUAUUUCUUGUGGGUGGUUAGGGAAAAAGAAGCAGCCAAGCUGCCAAAAGGGUUUGUGGAGGAGACAUCUGAGAAGGGCUUGGUGGUUUCAUGGUGCCCUCAAUUGGAAGUUUUGGCACAUAAGGCUGUAGGAUGCUUUGUCACACAUUGUGGCUGGAACUCUACUUUGGAGGGCUUGAGUUUGGGAGUUCCAAUGGUGGCAGUGCCACAAUGGACUGACCAAAGCACCAAUGCCAGGUUCAUCAUGGAUGUUUGGAAAACAGGGCUUAAAGCUCAAGCUGACAAGAAAGGGAUAGUGAGAGGAGAAGAAAUAACACAUUGCCUGAGAGAAAUAUUGGAUGGGGAGAGAGGAAAGGAGAUUCGAAAGAACACUUCAAAGUGGAAAGCAUUGGCCAAGAAUGCAGUGGAUGAAGGUGGAAGUUCUGAUAAAAACAUUGAUGAGUUCAUUGCAAAACUGGUUCAGAGUUAGGCUAGGCAAAGCUGCAAAAUUGCCGAGUACAAGUCCUCAUAUUGAAAAUAAAAGUGAGGCUAUAUAAUGUAACAGACUCUGUGAUUCUAAUAAACGGUUCAAAAAGAAGAAAUCUUCUGCAAACAAUUUUGUUACCUUCUGCGUGUGCAUAUAUAUCACCUUUGCAAUGACUCAUGUUACAGGUUUCUCAAUCGCAAAAAUUGCCUGAGAAGCUGUUAGAUGAGAGGUCAAGGUACAUAACGAAGGAAAGGAUGUUUAUUGAUGAUAUCAGUAGGAAGGUGUCCGCUUAGCUUGUUGCCUGAAAGAUAUAGGACUGCUUGUGCAGUUAAGCUAAGCCCUGAGGAAACUGGCCUUUUAGUCCCAAAUCCGAAAGACAGACUUUUCUUUCAUGCUCGUUCCAACACUCGAUUCCCAGAAAGUGACAGAUAAAACCUUCAUUAGUGUUGUUGCUGAAAUCCCAUUAAGAAUUUAAGUAGCCUUGCUACUCUCGACACCGAAGCUGAAACUACAACAAAAAAGCAGUAACCAGAGGACACUGUCAGUAAAAAUGCCAGCAUCUUGUUUACUCAACAACGUAUGCAUCAAGAAAGCCAUCAAAAUGGGCUUGAAAGAGACGUGCUAUUUAAUUAAUGAAAGCCAAAUGAGCAGUGAUAAAUAUAUUAUACUGAACCCAGAGAAGGGGUUAAACAAUCAACGACAAACUAUUUAAUGUAGUUGGAAAGAAAAAGUUGAGAGAUAUAUAAAAGACUCACACGGUCAACAACACAUAAAUUAAAAAUGCAAGAGUGAAAGUGAACGUGAGGUAAGGAAAUGAGCUCAUUGAACAAGUUAAUGAAAUGGAAAGAAGGUUAAAAGAAAUAGGAAGAGAUAGGAAAGAUUACAAGAUAUUUGUUGCAAUGAGUAGUGAGAAGAUCAGCAGUUAUCUACAUUUUUGGCAAUAAUUACGGGUCAUGUUAGGUAGAUCGCAUGAUUUGAUGACAUUGUAAAUUACGUCUCUAAUAGGGAUGGAGCCCACUAUUACAAUGGGUCUUACCUCUACUAAAAAGGUGGUUUACAAAAUAGUCUACAGAUGUGGUCUCCUUAGCAUUUUCCAUAUUACUAUGUAGGAUUGUUGUGAUUGUUGUGGGUGUGUUUGAGUCAUUUGUGGGUGAGCAAUUCUGCUGGAAUUGGGUUUAUUGUUAUCACUCAUCAGGCCCAUUUGGAGGCCAUUCCUUUAGUCAAAAGCUAAGCGACGACUUGGACUGCUAACUAUUGACUAUCCAGAGUGCUUGACUGCCCUCUGUUUCCAUCUUCUUUUAAAACCUUUUUUAAGUUCCAGUUCUUGUGUUACAAUUUAAUUCAUGUUUUGUCCUUUGGGAAUUUGUCCAAAGCAUCUGCAAGAGGAAGCUCGGACUAAGUCGACCCACAAAAAUAAAAAAAAUAAAAAAUAAGUAUUAGACACAACAAUUCUUACUAAUUAGAAUUUGAGACAUAAUUUUUAUUUGGGUUUUAAUACUUACGAAUCAAAUUUUGUUUUAAAUUUGGUCAAAAAGGAGACCUAGAUUCAUUGAGUUUGUCUAAAUUAGAAAAGUAAAAUACUGUUUUACCUUUUUUGUUUAAAAGUCUGGCCAAAAUUAGAUCUUACCAUUUCUCUCUCUCGACCAGGGCAGCCACAUUUCCAAUUUCACAAACAUGGCACGAUUUGCAAAUAUUGUGGUACUAAAUUUUCAUAAAUAAAUUAUUAUAGUGUUUUUAAUUUUCUUUCAUUACUUACUAUAUAUUUUCUAAACUCACAGUAUUUGACAAGCUCGUUAUAUAAUCAAUUUAAAUCACUCAAACCCACAAUGCAAUAUAUUUCCUUCCAAUUUUUUGUAAUAAAAUCAUAGAGAAUUGAUUAAAUAAACAUCCUCUAAAGUUUCAAUAAAAAUUUCCAAGUUUUCCCACAAUUUUCAUGAUUUUUAUACAAUUUUUACCAAUAUCGAUAUUUUUCAGAUAUUUUCAUCAAAAUUUUCAUGUUUUUAAACCACCGAUAUUUCCAAAACUCCCGAUAUUUUAGACCUUAGGCAAGACCAAUCAUGUGCAUAAUUUUCAAGGGGACAAUUGUGCUAUCAUACCUUCUUUUCUUUUUUUGUUUUGGAAAGAGACUAUUUCAUUCAAGACCAACAUAAGCCAAAGAUUACAGAAUAAGAUAAGACCCCAACAGUCAACUUGAAUUAAAACCAAUCAGGCAACUUGAACAAGGGUUGUGCGCUUUCAUACUUUGUUUCACCCAUAUAUGUGUGUUCGGAUAUACUGAGCGAAGUAAAACCAAUCAGUCAACUUGAAUAAGGGGGCCAAACGAGACAUUUAAAACCACACAAAUGGUCUCCAAUUUUGGCAUAUGCCAAGGUUUUUGAGCAGAGACAGUCUCUACUAAUAAAUAUUCAUUUAUAUUAUAAUAUGUGUAAAGUUCAUUGGCUGGUUUAUUUUGCUCUUCAAUUUUCACUAUAAAUCUUGCAAAUGUGGUUGGCUUCUGCACAACAAAAUGGAGAAGACAGAAAAAGCUCACUGUCUGGUCUUCUUCUGUCCAAUCCAAGGCCACAUUAAUCCCAUGCUCCAAUUCUCCAAGCGUUUAGAGCACAAAGGACUCAAAGUCACAUUGAUCACUACCCGCUCUGUUCACAAGGCCAUGCAUGAAGGAGGAGGAGAACAAUCUACAACAUCAUUCUCUUCCAUUGCAUUGGAGACCAUUUCUGAUGGCUUUGAUGGAGAAGGUGGGAGUGCCCAAGCAGAGAGCAUCCAGGCCUACAGGGACCGUGUUCGGGAAAUCGGCUCACAGACUUUGGCUGAGCUCAUUGACAAGCUCUCUGCCUCAGGCCACCCUGCGGAUUGUCUAGUUUAUGAUCCAGUUUUUCCUUGGGCUCUUGAUGUGGCCAAAAGGGUUGGGAUUGCUGCGGCUGCUUUCUUCACUGUAUCUUGUGCUGUUACCAACAUAUACUCACUUGUCCAUAAUGGGCUGCUCAAACUUCCUCUCAAUCCUGACUCUGAGAUUUUGCUGCCUGGAUUGCCACCUCUUCAACCUUCAGACACCCCAUCUUUCAUCUAUGUUCCUG
rnacentral:lncRNA from 1 species